UCCCUGGUGGCUCAGAGGUGAAGCGUCUGCCUGCAAUGCGGGAGACCCAGGUUCGAUCCCUGGGUUGGGAA
rnacentral:tRNA from 1 species